rnacentral:rRNA from 1 species
UACGAAGGGGGGCUAGCGUUGCUCGGAAUUACUGGGCGUAAAGGGCGCGUAGGCGGAUAUCUAAGUUGGGGGUGAAAUCCCGGGGCUCAACCUCGGAAUUGCCUUCAAAACUGGGUAUCUUGAGUUCGGGAGAGGUGAGUGGAACUCCGAGUGUAGAGGUGAAAUUCGUAGAUAUUCGGAAGAACACCAGUGGCGAAGGCGACUCACUGGCCCGAUACUGACGCUGAGGCGCGAAAGCGUGGGGAGCAAACAGGG